rnacentral:rRNA from 1 species
ACACUCCUACGGGAGGCAGCAGUGGGGAAUUUUGGACAAUGGGGGCAACCCUGAUCCAGCAAUGCCGCGUGAGUGAAGAAGGCCUUCGGGUUGUAAAGCUCUUUUGUCAGGGAAGAAACGGUGGUGGCGAAUAACUACUACUAAUGACGGUACCUGAAGAAUAAGCACCGGCUAACUACGUGCCAGCAGCCGCGGUAAUACGUAGGGUGCAAGCGUUAAUCGGAAUUACUGGGCGUAAAGCGUGCGCAGGCGGUUGUGUAAGUCAGAUGUGAAAUCCCCGGGCUCAACCUGGGAAUUGCAUUUGAGACUGCACGGCUAGAGUGUGUCAGAGGGGGGUAGAAUUCCACGUGUAGCAGUGAAAUGCGUAGAUAUGUGGAGGAAUACCGAUGGCGAAGGCAGCCCCCUGGGAUAACACUGACGCUCAUGCACGAAAGCGUGGGGAGCAAACAGGAUUAGAAACCCGGGUAGUCCC